rnacentral:piRNA from 1 species
CACUGGCUUAUUCUUCAGGGUUUUCCCAGC